CAAACUGCUUAUUCAUCUCUAAUGCCUUUUGAUUAACCGGCAGGUUCUACUUUAAUUUGUUUUAAAACAUGUCCUGUUCAAGAAAUUAUCAAGUUGGUUAUAUGUUGGAAAGUCUCUCAGCAGCAAGAAGUUACUCCCCACUGAAAUGAUGAAGCUUCCACUUUCGAGUCUCAGCCUACUUUUCUCGCUAACCAUCCAAGUGAUCCUCUUGAUCUUGAAACUGUCUUGUAUGAAAUUUGUUUUCGCUUCCACAGUAGGAAACAACACUGACAAACUUGCAUUGGUUGACUUCAAGUCUCAAAUAAAUGAUAAUCUCGGAGUCUUGGCCUCUUGGAAUGAUUCUCUCCAUUUCUGCCACUGGGAAGGAGUCACAUGUGGCCAAAAACACCAACGAGUCACCAGCUUGGAUCUUGUUGGGCAGAAUUUGUAUGGAACCCUAUCACCACAAAUUGGAAAUCUCUCAUUCCUUAGGUCACUCAACCUUGCAAGCAACGCCUUCCAAGGUGGUAUCCCCCAAGAUGUUGGUCGGUUGUUUAGGCUUACAAGUUUGAACUUGAGCCAUAAUUUUUUGGGACUUGAAAUACCAGUCGACCUGUCUCACUGUUCCAACCUCUUGACUCUUGAUUUGGGGUACAACAGUAUUUCCCAACAAAUUCCUUCCCAACUCGGCUCUUUGUCAAAGCUUGAGAUACUGUUUCUCAACAGCAACAAUCUCACAGGAAGGUUUCCGACUUCUAUAGGCAAUCUCUCAUCUCUCCAACAGAUUUCACUAACAUUCAACAAUUUGCAAGGAGAAAUUCCUGAUGAAAUAGCCCGGAUGACUAAGCUGACAGUGUUUGAGGUGGGGGCAAAUAAUCUUUCAGGGGUCUUUCCUCCUUCGCUUUACAACCUUUCCUCCCUGCAAGUCAUAGUUUUGGCAAAAAAUAAGUUUACUGGUGACCUCAGGGCUAACAUUGGACAUGAUCUUCCAAAUCUCCAAUUAUUGUUCCUAGGAGCAAAUCAAUUUACAGGACCCAUUCCAGUAUCAUUGUCAAAUACUUCAGGUCUUCAACAACUUGAUAUCAUUUACAACAAUUUCACAGGAAGCAUACCAAUGAGUUUUGGAAACCUACAGAAUUUAUCGCGCCUAUCUGCUCCAAGUAACCUUCUUGGAAGUGGUACUUUUGAUGAUUUGAGUUUUAUUAUUGUUUCUUUGUCGAAUUGCAGCAAUUUAAAAGUGUUUGACGUGAGCUACAAUCAAUUCAGAGGUGAGUUACCCUAUUCAUUGACUAAUCUUUCCACUAAACUAGAAUGCCUACAAUUAGGGGGAAACAAUCUGGGUGGGACCAUUCCCGUGGAAGUCUCAAGACUCCUUAACUUAAAUCGGCUUGGAUUAGAGCACAACUUGUUGUCGGGAAGUAUUCCUGAUUCAAUUGGGAAACUCUCGAAAUUAAAUUUUUUGGAAUUGGGUCAAAACAAAUUGACUGGGGUUAUCCCGUCUUCAUUUGGCAACCUAACGCUACUGUUAGAACUCUACUUGUAUAAUAACAGCUUCCAGGGAAGCAUACCUUCAAGUCUUGGCAAAUGCAAGUACCUGCAAACCAUACACCUUUGCCACAACAAAUUCAAUGGAACCAUACUUGAGUCAAUCAUUGGUCUUUCACCUACGUUGUUAGACCUUAACAUGUCUCACAAUUCUUUCACGGGUUCUCUGCCAUCAGAAAUUGCAGACUUCAGAAAUCUUGUCAUGCUAGAUGUCUCGUACAAUAUAUUGUCCGGUGAUAUUCCUGGCAGUUUGGGGAAGUGUUUGGCCUUGGAACAACCUUAUUUGCAAUCCAACUCCUUUCAAGGAACCAUUCCUGAUUUAGGCAAACUGAUGGGUAUUCAGUAUUUCGAUCUGUCGAGCAAUAACUUGUCUGGCCAAAUACCCAUGUACAUGGUAAAUUUUGCAUCGUUGCAAAAUUUGAAUAUAUCUUUGAACAAUCUUGAGGGUGAGGUACCGGUGCAAGGAGUCUUCAAAAAUGCGAGUGCAAUUGAGCUCUUUGGCAACAGUAACCUUUGUGGGGGGAUUGAAGAGCUACAUUUGGGGCCAUGUGAGGAACCCAAAAAGCAUUUCGCGCUCAAAUUAAUAUUGCUUGUUGUCAUCAUUUUCGCUUUUUGCUUUGCUCUGAUGAUGUUUCUAGUUUCACGUUACUGCUUGAGAAAGUUGAAGAACAAAACUAUUUCGAGUUCUUCAUUUGGGAGAGUAUACCCAAAGGUCUCCUAUGAAGAUCUCCUCAAUGCAACCGGCAGAUUCUCAAAGAGCAAUUUGAUUGGUUCGGGUAGUUUCGGCACCGUGUACAAAGGAAUCAUCUGUCCAGGAGAAACAACAGUUGCAAUUAAGGUUCUUAACCUUCAACAGCGAGGGGCUUCUAAGAGCUUCUUGGCUGAAUGCCAGGCAUUAGGGAACAUCUGGCACCGAAAUCUUGUCAAGGUUCUAACUGCUUGCUCUAGCAUUGAUUUUGAGGGAAAUGAAUUCAAAGCUUUAGUAUAUGAGUUCAUGCCAAAUGGGAGCUUGGAGAACUGGCUUCAUCCAGAAGAAGAACAAGAGAAAUGGAGAAAUAUGGAUCUUCUCCAAAGAAUCAAUGUUGCAACAGAUGUGGCGUUGGCAUUGCAUUAUCUUCAUAAUCAGUGCCAAGCCCCAAUAGUUCACUGUGAUCUAAAACCAAGCAAUGUCCUUCUUGACGAUGAUCUGACAGCUCAUGUAAGUGAUUUUGGUUUGGCAACGAUCCUCUUGAGAUCUAGUAAAGAUGCUAUUCUAAAUCAUUUUAGCUCAGCUGGAAUCAAGGGAACUAUUGGUUAUGUUGCUCCAGAGUAUGGCAUGGGAGGUCAAGUGUCAACUCGUGCAGACGUGUACAGCUAUGGGAUCCUCUUGUUGGAGAUGUUCACUGGAAGAAGGCCAACAGAUGGACUAUUCAAAAAUGAUUUGAACCUUCACAAAUUUGUUAAAGCGGCUUUGCCAGGGAGAGUAAUGGAGAUUGUGGACCGGUCUAUGGACAGUAAUGAGAUGGCAGAAAUCAAAAGUAGUGAACAUAGUGAAUGUUUGAUUUCUAUAUUUCAACUAGGAAUUGCUUGUUCAGCAGAAUCCCAAAGGGAAAGAAUGGACAUGAGAGAGGUAGCCUCGGCACUGGUUUUGAUCAGAGAGGGAUUCCUCCAAUCCAGAAAACAUGAACACUGCCCAGAGAGACAAGGAGCUCAAGUAUCUCAAAUUCGUGUGAAGGAGACCUAUCCUUGUGAAGAUGGUAGGCAACAUUUGCAUGAUGCAUUGCAGUUAUAUCAGGAAAGCUGACUACUUGUAGUUGUACCAUGUUUCCUAGAUUUUCAUCUUCAUCUUCAUCUUCAUCUUCUACCAUGUAAAUCAGAAAAGCUGAGUACAAGAUUUUGAUCUUCAUCUUCAAUGUAACUGAGGCUUCAUUGACGGAUUUUGUUGAGCAUUGCUUGUGAGGUUAUCUUUUUAUUUUUUAUUUUAUAUGCAAAAGUCAAUUGUUAGAUUAACUUCUAGGGAGCUAAAACCUAAAGCUAGCAUAAGACUAAGGAGUCACGUGCUCCCCUAAGUUUCUAAUAUUUAUACUAUUACCCUUAUAUAUAAAAUGUAUAUCUUGCUUAUCCUGUGUAAAACUUAAUCAAUGUAAAGUUUCUUUUUAUUUUAAAA